AACUUUUAACAACGGAUCUCUUGGUUCUCGCAUCGAUGAAGAACGUAGCAAAGUGCGAUAACUAGUGUGAAUUGCAUAUUCAGUGAAUCAUCGAGUCUUUGAACGCAACUUGCGCUCCCUGGUAUUCCAGGGAGCACGCCUGUUUCAGUA
rnacentral:rRNA from 1 species